rnacentral:tRNA from 1 species
UCUCUUAGCUUAACUAGAGAGCAUUAGUUUGAAGCACUAAAGGUAAUUUUAUUAGAGAG